rnacentral:rRNA from 1 species
CCUACGGGAUGCUGCAGUGGGGAAUAUUGCACAAUGGGGGCAACCCUGAUGCAGCGACGCCGCGUGAAGGAAGAAGUAUUUCGGUAUGUAAACUUCUAUCAGCAGGGACGACAAUGACGGUACCUGACUAAGAAGCCACGGAUAACUACGUGCCAGCAUCCGCAGUAAUACGUAGGGGGCAAGCGUUAUCCGGAUUUACGGGGUGUAAAGGGAGCGGAGGCGGUGCAGACAGUCAGAAGUGAAAGCCCGGGGCUCAACUCCGGGACUGCUUUUGAAACUGUUGAACUAGAUUGCAGGAGAGGUAAGUGGAAUUCCUAGUGUAGCGGUGAAAUGCGUAGAUAUUAGGAGGAACACCAGUGGCGAAGGCGGCUUACUGGACUGUAAAUGACGCUGAGGCUCGAAAGCGUGGGGAGCAAACAGGAUUAGAUACCCGUGUAGUC